rnacentral:rRNA from 1 species
GAUGAACGCUCGCGAUAGGCUUAACACAUGCAAGUCGAGGGGCAGCAUGGUCUUAGCUUGCUAAGACUGAUGGCGACCGGCGCACGGGUGCGUAACGCGUAUGCAACUUGCCUCACAGAGGGGGAUAACCCGUCGAAAGACGGACUAAUACCGCGUACACUUGGGAUAGGGCAUCCUGACCCAAGGAAAUGAAAUUCGCUGUGAGAUAGGCAUGCGUCCCAUUAGCUAGUUGGUGAGGUAACGGCUCACCAAGGCGACGAUGGGUAGGGGAACUGAGAGGUUGAACCCCCACACUGGUACUGAGACACGGACCAGACUCCUACGGGAGGCAGCAGUGAGGAAUAUUGGGCAAUGGGCGAGAGCCUGAACCAGCCAAGUCGCGUGAAGGAUGACUGUCUUAUGGAUUGUAAACUUCUUUUAUACGGGAAUAACAAGAGCCACGUGUGGCUCCCUGCAUGUACCGUAUGAAUAAGCAUCGGCUAACUCCGUG